CUUUAUAGAAGUUGUACAUUUUUUUUAUUUUCGACAUGUAACGGUUUGAUCUAAUUUAUGAUUUUUGCCUAUUUUUAAAUUGUUGGGAAAACUUGUGACCUGACAUUCCAUUUGCUUAUUACUAUACUGAAAAAGUCAUUCGCGAAUUUUUUUAUCCAUAGACAUCAAUGAAUGUUCCCUAUCGAUUGACAACUGCCAUUCUAACGCUUCUUGCACCAACAUUGGUGGAUCAUUUUUCUGCACGUGUGAGAGUGGAUAUACUGGUAAUGGAACUUUUUGCCAAGGUAAAUAGACAAUGGCCAUAUUUAACGUCAAUUCGACUAAAAUCAUAGAGUAGAAAAGAAACGUCGACUAAAUUCCAAAAUAGCAAUGAACGUUAACUAUUUUUUUUUUUAUAAAUUUAAUGGCAUAUAUUUGUUAUGCAUCUCUAGAAAUAGAUGAAUGUUCGCUAUCUCUUGACGAUUGCCAUCCAAAUUCAAACUGCACCAAUAUUGAUGGAUCUUUCCUGUGUAUUUGUGAUAGUAUAUUUGGAGGGAACGAAACUCUUUGCCAAGGUAAGCACAAAAGGCCAUCAUGGCACCUACCUGUAA